AAUUUCAUCAUACCUCAUAAUACAGAUUCAAAUGAUAUAAACCUAGUAUAUACUAAACUAAUAAUUUCGUUAUAUACGUCUACUAAUAUUUUUUGAGCAUAUCCCCCAAAAAGUUCUAUAAAAUAAGUGUUUUUUUUUCUUAAUUUGAAUUAACUUUAGGCACUUUUUCAUUCAAAUAUUCAUGGGAUAAAAUCCAUAAAAUACAUUAUUUUGCUCUUACAUCUAUACUCAUCAACAAAACUUGAAGAUGAACAGAGAUACCCUUGCAAAGAUUUGAAAAAUUAUCUCUCUCUAGUUUGAUAGAGAGAGAAAAUCCUCUCAACUCUCUUGGUCAUAUUUUAUGUCCUCUCGGGUUAGCCUAGCUUAUUUUCUGGUUGGCUUCCCUUGUCUCGAAGAUGGUGUAUCCGGCUUGUUGGUGGCUUCCCUCUCACCUCAGGUAAGAAGAUGAGUUUGCAGCAUGUGUUGGUUUUAUCUUGGGUCUAGUUAUUGUGCUCUGCUUGAAGGGAGGGAUAAUCAUAGGUGGACGUUUGCAACUCCGGGGAUUUAUGCUUCUUCUUCUCUUAUGGAAGCUCACCCUUAUGGCUAUAUGAGAUUGAGAGGCCAGUGAGCUCUGCUGCAUCACCUUCCUGGAGAGAUUGAGCUGUGCUUUCAAUGUUGGGUGGUGGAGCCUUGGAGAUCUGAUGCUGUUUAAGCUUCUGUGUCUUUCUGGGUGGCCUUUGGCUAUUCAAAUGCUUCAUCAGAGCUUUGGUUGGGGAUGAAGAAAUGUUUCUCUUCCCAUUUUCCAAAUCGACAAUCAAGCUUGUUGUGGCAGAUGGACAGCUUGGUUCUGUUCCCUUUUCUGUUUGUUUAGGGUUCUUAGAUUGGUGGUGGGCUACCAUGGUUUGGACUUGUUCUAUUGUAGGGCUUGAUUUGUGGGUCUCUAAUUUCUCUUCUACUGUGUUGUAAUUGGACUCAGUUUGUAAGUUAGCCUUAUAUGCCUUGAAAUGUAAUAGUCAAUAUUUGCAGUUCAAAAAAAAAAAAAAAAAAAGAAAGAAAAAUAAGAAUAGAAAAGAAAAUAUAUUUUUUUA